GAUGCUUGCAUCUUUUAAAAAGUUGAGUGCCCAAUGGGUGAGUAACACGUGGGUAACCUACCUUAAAGUGGGGGAUAACACUUGGAAACAGGUGCUAAUACCGCAUAACCAUCAAAACCGCCUGGUUUUGAUGUUAAAGAUGGUUCUGCUAUCGCUUCAAGAUGGACCCGCGGCGUAUUAGCUAGUUGGUGAGGUAACGGCUUACCAAGGCAAUGAUACGUAGCCGAACUGAGAGGUUGAUCGGCCACAUUGGGACUGAGACACGGCCCAAACUCCUACGGGAGGCAGCAGUAGGGAAUCUUCCACAAUGGACGAAAGUCUGAUGGAGCAACGCCGCGUGAGUGAAGAAGGUUUUCGGAUCGUAAAACUCUGUUGUCAGAGAAGAACGUGUGUGAGAGUAACUGUUCACGCAGUGACGGUAUCUGACCAGAAAGUCACGGCUAACUACGUGCCAGCAUCCGCGGUAAUACGUAGGUGGCAAGCGUUGUCCGGAUUUAUUGGGCGUAAAGGGAACGCAGGCGGUCUUUUAAGUCUGAUGUGAAAGCCUUCGGCUUAACCGAAGUCGGGCAUUGGAAACUGGGAGACUUGAGUGCAGAAGAGGAGAGUGGAACUCCAUGUGUAGCGGUGAAAUGCGUAGAUAUAUGGAAGAACACCAGUGGCGAAAGCGGCUCUCUGGUCUGUAACUGACGCUGAGGCUCGAAAAGCGUGG
rnacentral:rRNA from 1 species